UUAUACAUUUUGCACAUAUACAGUGAAAUUCUUUUUUUUUCACAUAUCCCAGCUAAGCUGGGGUCAGAGUGCAGGGUCAGCCAUGAUCAGCGGUGCCACUGAAUUGUAGUGAAGGAGUAUUUAAUACCGUCUUCUUUCUGCAUCAGCGGAACCGAAAAUCAUACAAAUUAUUUGGUUCUGGUAUAUUUUCUUUUUAAAGAACCAGUUCUGAGGGGGGCCUGGGUAGCUCAGUGAGUAAAGACGCUAACUACCACCCCUGGAGUUCACGAGUUCGAAUCCCUGGGUGUGCUGAGUGACUCCAGAGUGACUCCAGCCAGGGCUUCUAAGCAACCAAAUUGGACCGGUUGCUAGGGAGGGUAGAGUCACAUGGGGUAACCUCCUUGUGGUCGCUUUAAUGUGGUUCGCUCUCGGUGGGGCACGUAGUAAGUUGUGCGUGGAUGCCGCGGUGGAUGGCGUGAAGCCAUGUCUCUGCGGUAACGCGCUCAACAAGCCACAUGAUAAAAUGCACGGACUGACAGUCUCAGAUGCAGAGGCAACUGAGAUUCAUCCUCCACCACCCGGAUUGAGUCGAGUCACUACGCCACCACGAGGACUUUGCAUUGGGCAUUCCAAAUAAAAAAAAAAAUAAAAUAAAAAAAGAACCAGUUCUGAAACAACAGAGCCGUUUGUUCUCUAGAAACACCUGUGAUAUUGACUGUAUCUGGAUGAGAGCAGGGACAGGCAGAUGGCUUUUCAUCUGUCACUCAUUCAAGGAAAUAUCUUUCAUAAUAUACACAGGUCUGAUAAAUCUGUUAAAGUGGGCUCAGAACGCUCUCACAGGGCAUUGUGGGUGAGACAGCGAUAUCUGGAGUAAACGAAGACGAACAACAUGAAGACACAAAAUCUUUAUUGACAGGAACAGUGAGGUCCAAAUCAGCCCCAGUCUUGUGUAACCAGACCUGUGACUAUUAGCAGAAAGUCCGGUUCACAUUGUUCAAGAAAAAACAACUUAAGGGUCAUUCACAUCUUAAUGACUCCACCAGCAAGUCCUUAAUGUGCAUCAGAGUCUUGAAAGGGAUUCUUCAUCCAAAAGUGAAAACAGAACACUGUAUUCCAGAAAACACGAGUUGUGAAAAUAAGAUGUGAUCUAGGAACUUUAUACAGUGCAUGCCAUUGAGAAGACUUCAAGAUCUCAUGCAAAAAAUCACUUCAACACAUGGUCUCUGAAGGUUCAUAUUUAGUAGGGUUCUGAAUCUGAUCAUCUGAAACACAACAACAACAAUACAGUACAACAUUACAUGUUCUUAAGACUGAGUUGUACAACAUCUUACCAACAACUGCAUCUAAUCCAAUGUUUGAAGAUGCUGCCAUCUUGUGGUGGUGAAGAGUCAUCACAAUAGCUGGCAAGUUGCAUAAGACACCAUCUUUGAUUCCUGGUUUACAGAGUGUGGUUAUAACCACUUCCGGUUUCGCCUGGCACCGGUAUGGAGACCGCUAAAAAUGGCAUUUUACAUGAGGUGCUUACAGAAAAGAGAUUUAAAAUCUAUUGAAGCUUCACACUGAAGACACAUGAGGUUGAUCUCACAAACAGUGUGUUUAAGGCUGUUGUCGGCCACAGCCACACCAUACACUCUGUAAUUGUUUAGAGAAGUACACUUAAAAACAGCAGUGAACCCCUUCUGCACAGUCUCCCCUUGCACAUACAUACACUAAACAUUCAGGAACAGCUAUCAAUGCAAGACAUUACAACCCAGUAAAAUACAUAACACAAAUUUCUCUUAUCAGUUAGAAUAAGACCAUAAACAACAUGUCAACACGUUACAGUAUAUAUGCAGUUACAUCAAUGACUAUGAAGGUAAGAAUGAUAAUAAACUUCAGUAGCUCAUCUAAGUUUCUGUGAACAUGAAUAAAUAAUGCUAGACUUGGAUACAGAUUCAGUAAGAAAUACAAUUUGAAGAUGAAUAUACAACUGCAGGGUACAUAAGGUCAUAUUAAUCCUCUGUUGGACAACAACCAACACAUUUAUAAAGUUACAAUUUCUGUUUGUGUCUUACAUCUGAUUACAGAUGCAACUUUUUGGUAACACUUUACAAUAAGGUUCAAUUCGUAAACAUUGGUUAAUGCAUUUGGAAUAAUAAACGUACAAUUGUAACUAUUAGAGCAUUAAUCUAGGUUGAUGUUUUAUUUAAAUAUAUUAUUGUUCAUUGUUAAAAACCAUUUGUUCAUGUGUCCCAUGUAAAUGUAUAGAUAGAAAUGAACAUGAAUCAAGGUUAAUAAAUGCUGUAAAAGUAUUGACAGUUGUUAUUUCAUGUUAGCUAUUGCAUGUUGAUGUACAGAACCUUAUUGUAAAGUCUUACCUACAAUUUUAACACUAUUUACUUCAUACCGCUGGUCAGCUCGUCGCUGCUGGUUGAGGCACACAACAAUGUAAAGUGAAUGUUAUCUACCGUCACUGAUAAACUACUCUCAUUUCUUUCUUUACUUGUAAACAUGCUCAUGCUGGUCUCAACCAAGUCUCCUUUGGAAGUUUAUUCUCAAAGCAACACCGCGAUCACACCGUGUUCUCACUCAGUUUCAGUGAGCACUCAUACAACCAGAUGUAAUCAUGCACACAGUCAUGUGGUGAAAGCUCACAGGCGUCAUCUUGUGCACCUAGCCCAUUAGACAAGACUAUCCAGUAUGAAUUCUUUCGUGUAAUCUCAAGCUGUUUGACUGAGUGAAACUCUUUUCACAGUGUGAGCACUUGUAAGGUUUCUCUCCAGUAUGAAUUCUCUCAUGUGAUCUCAAGGUGUUUGACAGACUGAAACUCUUUCCACAGUGUGAGCACUUGUAAGGUUUCUCUCCAGUAUGAAUUCUCUCAUGUGAUCUCAAGCUGUUUGACAGAGAGAAAC